AUUGCUCGUCUGUUAGCCAGCCGCCCUCCAGCUCCAGAGUGUGGCCUCAGAACUCCCUGGAUGACGCCUCACCUCCUGGCCAGAUGGUGUCCGGAAGGAAGCAAUAUAGAACAAGCAGCCCUGUGCCAGGGCCGUGUCUGUGAAGCAGAGCGGUAUGAUGCAGAAGUUUGUCAUCUUCAAGAAUCCCUGUCCUGGCGCACCUAGCCUGGUGACCUCUGCCAAGUGACUUGUUUCCUUCAAGCUUCCAUGUCUUCACCUCUACGGUGGAGAGACUGAGCUAAUAACUGUCUUCCACCUGCAAGAUGGAGGUGAGGACCACAUAGGAGCUGGCACGUAAUGGAUUUAGCAUAGUGCCUGGAUUAUGGUGAAGUGCAACAAGCUUAGCCACUCUUGAGUUUUGAGGGACACACCACACAUGCAUGAACAUAUGAAGGUGGUAUAAGAACCAAUAAGUGCACAGGUGAAUAAAUGCUGCAGGAGUUCAAAGCAGGGAGAGAGGGCUUCCCUAGGGUUCCAGGGAGGGCAGGCAUUCUGGUGAUUUGAACUGGGCCUCAAAAGAGGAUUCCAUUGAAAGGAAGGUGAAGACAAACCUAGCAUGUUCUUCUCAAAGCUUGGGAAGAGAUCUAUGCAUCAUAUACCCACUGCCUUUGUUUUAGAUGUUGAAGGCCUUGAGCAAAGUCAUAUGUCAAAUUAGUAGCAGAGCUGGGGCUAGAGGCAGUGACUUCUCUUGUACUUUUUCCAUCACACCUUGCUGGCCAUUGGAAUUUCUCUUAGUCACUAUGCGUUUGUUUGCAAGUGACAGGAAAAAAACUCAGUUCACACCGGCUUAAGCAGAAAAGCAAAGAAAAACAACAGCAGCAGCAUCCCAACAAUAACAGAGAAGAGAACGUACUGACUUCUCCCUUGGACAGACUCUCCCACGGGGGCUCCUGGCAUCUCCAAGCUUACCUGCUUCCAGCCUCACAUCCAGGAGAAGGAAAGCAUCUCGCUCCCUUCAAACAAUCCCAUGUCAAACAAUCAAGUCUCACCAGCCUGGUUGUGCUCACGGGCCUCCCAAACCAAUCACUGUGGCGAGAGUUUUAUUUAUUUAUUUUGUUGUACUCUGAUUGGCCAGACUUCGACCACCCGCUCACCCUUGGAGUCUUCAGAAUGACACGGUCUGGGGUGUUCUUACUGGUAGAAGAGGGAGUGGCUUCUGGGCAGACAAAAACAGCAGUGCCCAUUCAGUGUGGUCACAAGGUUUACACACUUCUUGUGGAGAAGGAGCAGGAGAGGGACCACCACCAAGAGAUGUCACUGCCACUCUCCCCAG
rnacentral:lncRNA from 1 species